rnacentral:rRNA from 1 species
GAUGAACGCUGGCGGCGUGCCUAAUACAUGCAAGUCGAGCGAACAGACGAGGAGCUUGCUCCUCUGACGUUAGUGGCGGACGGGUGAGUAACACGUGGAUAACCUACCUGUAAGAGUGGGAUAACUUCGGGAAACCGGAGCUAAUACCGUAUAAUCUAUUGAACCGCAUGGUUCAAUAGUGAAAGACGGUUUUGCUGGCACUUAUAGAUGGAUCCGCGCCGCAUUAGCUAGUUGGUAAGGUAACGGCUUACCAAGGCAACGAUGCGUAGCCGACCUGAUAGGGUGAUCGGCCACACAGGAACUGAGACCCGGUCCAGACUCCUACGGGAGGCAGCAGUAGGGAAUCUUCCGCAAUGGGCGAAAGCCUGACGGAGCAACGCCGCGUGAGUGAUGAAGGUCUUCGGAUCGUAAAACGCUGUUAUUAGGGAAGAACAAAUGUGUAAGCAACUAUGCACGUCUUGACGGUACCUAAUCAGAAAGCCACGGCUAACUACGUG